rnacentral:tRNA from 1 species
GGGGCUGUAGCUCAGUUUGGGAGAGCGCCUGAAUGGCAUUCAGGAGGUCGCGCGUUCGAUCCGCGUCAGCUCCACCA